rnacentral:rRNA from 1 species
ACUCAAAGGAAUUGACGGGGGCCCGCACAAGCGGUGGAGUAUGUGGUUUAAUUCGAUGCAACGCGAAGAACCUUACCAGGGCUUGACAUCCCGAGAACCUGCCUGAAAGGGUGGGGUGCUUUUCGGAGAGCUCGGAGACAGGUGGUGCAUGGCUGUCGUCAGCUCGUGUCGUGAGAUGUUGGAUUAAGUUCCGCAACGAGCGCAACCCUCGUCGUAUGUUGCCAGCGAGUAAUGUCGGGCACUCAUGCGAGACUGCUGCAGCAAUGUGGAGGAAGGUGGGGAUGACGUCAAGUCAGCAUGCCCCUUACGCCCUGGGCUACACACAUACUACAAUGCCAGAAGCAAACUGUUGCUAACCCGUGAGGGGGCGCUAAUCGGAGAAGUUCUGGCUCAGUGCGGAUUGUAGGCUGCAACUCGCCUACAUGAAGUCGGAAUCGCUAGUAACCGUCGGUCAGCAUUACGACGGUGAAUACGUUCCCGGGCCUUGCACACACCGCCCGU